UACGUAGGGUGCGAGCGUUGUCCGGAAUUAUUGGGCGUAAAGAGCUCGUAGGCGGUCUGUCGCGUCGGUCGUGAAAACCUGCAGCUUAACUGUGGGCGUGCGGUCGAUACGGGCAUGACUGGAGUUCGGCAGGGGAGACUGGAAUUCCUGGUGUAGCGGUGAAAUGCGCAGAUAUCGGGAGGAACACCAGUGGCGAAAGCGGCUCUCUGGUCCAAAACUGACGCUGAGGGGCGAAAGCGUGGGGAGCGAACGGG
rnacentral:rRNA from 1 species